rnacentral:rRNA from 1 species
GACGGACGCUGGCGGCGUGCUUAACACAUGCAAGUCGAACGGAAAGGCCCUGCUUUUGUGGGGUGCUCGAGUGGCGAACGGGUGAGUAACACGUGAGUAACCUGCCCUUGACUUUGGGAUAACUUCAGGAAACUGGGGCUAAUACCGGAUAGGAGCUCCUGCUGCAUGGUGGGGGUUGGAAAGUUUCGGCGGUUGGGGAUGGACUCGCGGCUUAUCAGCUUGUUGGUGGGGUAGUGGCUUACCAAGGCUUUGACGGGUAGCCGGCCUGAGAGGGUGACCGGCCACAUUGGGACUGAGAUACGGCCCAGAGUCCUACGGGAGGCAGCAGUGGGGAAUAUUGCACAAUGGGCGGAAGCCUGAUGCAGCAACGCCGCGUGCGGGAUGACGGCCUUCGGGUUGUAAACCGCUUUCGCCUGUGACGAAGCGUGAGUGACGGUAAUGGGUAAAGAAGCACCGGCUAACUACGUG